CGGUGUCGCUUUCUUGGACGUUUCCUCCCUAAACUCGGCGGCGGCCUCUGGUCGCCGCCCUUUUUUUGUGCGGG
rnacentral:sRNA from 1 species